GCCGAUGUGGCUUAGGGGUAGAGCAGCUGAUUCGUAAUCAGCAGGUCGGGAGUUCAAAUCUCCCCAUCGGCUCCA
rnacentral:tRNA from 1 species